AGCAGCCGCGGUAAUUCCAGCUCCAAUAGCGUAUAUUAAAGUUGUUGCAGUUAAAAAGCUCGUAGUUGAACUUCGGGAUCAAGGGAUCGGUCAUGCCUUGGUAUGUACUGGUCUUAUUGGUUCUCACCCUCUAAAGAACCAUAAUGUCAUUCAUUUGAUGUUAUGGGGAAUUAGGACUGUUACCUUGAAAAAUUAGAGUGUUUAAAGCAGGCUUACGCUUUGAAUACAUUAGCAUGGAAUAAUGAAAUAGGACGUUUGAUUCUAUUUUGUUGGUUUCUAGGAUCGACGUAAUGAUUAAUAGGGAUAGUUGGGGGCAUUAGUAUUCAAUUGUCAGAGGUGAAAUUCUUGGAUUUAUGAAGACUAACUACUGCGAAAGCAUUUGCCAAGGAUGUUUUCAUUAAUCAAGAACGA
rnacentral:rRNA from 1 species